UUCCUUCUCAAGUUUUAAUUUUUCGGGCUGUGACCCUCCAGACUUUGUAGUGGUUAAAAGGAAGAAUCCUGGACGCUGCGCAAGGGAGACCUUCUGGGACUCCCUAAGGGUGAAGCGUGGAAGUGUGAACACCUGGAAGUUUCAGAAGCACCGUCAGGCCACACCUCCCGGAUCACCUACUAACGAUCUGCAAGGUGCAAUUGUUAAAAAGGAAGAAAAAAUUUCUCCUUGUGAUGAGAAUUCUUCCGAGUCACUUUCUUCACCGCUUUCCCAUACACCAUACAGCAGCGUUAGCUCUGGCCGUCACCUUGUACAUCACAUCCCUGGUGCUCAAUUAUUUUAUAACUGGAAGUUUGUACCUUGUGGCCACCUUCCUCUAAUUCCCCACUCCCGGCCCCACCCGCUCUGGUGACAAGUCUGAUCUCUUUUUCUAUGAGGUUUUUGUUUGGUGGUUGGGUUGGUUGGGUUUUUUGUUGUUGUUGUUGUUGUUGUUGUUGUUAAUUUUUUUAAUGUUUAUUUAUUUUUGAGACAGAGACAGAGCAUGAACGGGGGAGGGGCAGAGGGAGGGAGACACAGAAUCUGAAACAGGCUCCAGGCUCCGAGCUGUCAGCACAGAGCCCGACGCGGGGCUCGAACCCACAAACCGCGAGAUCAUGACCUGAGCCGAAGUCGGCCAGUCAACCGACUGAGCCACCCAGGUGCCCCUGGUUGGCUGGUUUUUUAAGAUUCUACAUAUAGUGAAAUCAUACAAUAUUUGCCUUUGAGCAUAAUGCCCUCGAGGCACACCCAUGUUGUCAUAAAUGGGAGGAUUUCCUGUCUUUUUCUUUUUAAGUUCAUUUUUAUUUUGAGAGAGACAGCAGGGGAGGGGCAGAAAGAGAGAGAAAGAGAGAAAAUCCCAAGAACCCCACUGUCAGCACAGAGCCCAACAUGGGGCUUGAUCCAUGAACCAUGAGAUCAUGACCUGAGUAGAAAUCAAGAGUCAGAAGCUUAUCUGACUGAGCCACCCAGGUACCCCAGGAUUUCCUGGGGUAUUUUUAUGGCUAAAGAAUAUUCUAUUAUAUACACACAUACAGAGCCCAGCACAGUGGAGACACUCUAAAUAUUAAAUACCUGAGAUCAAUGGAAUGAAAUAGAAUAGAAGGUCCUUAUCACAUACAUCUUGCCAAGUUUGCUUUCCAGCAUUCAUUUUUCCUGUCUCCAGUUACCAGCAUCACCAUUUUUUUCAUCACUCCUCACUGACUUUUAGUCCUAAAUGUCUAUAGCGAUCCGAAUGGUGACCAUCCCCUCCCAAAAGCUAUUUCCAUGGCCUAAUCCCCGAACCUGUGAACAUGACCUUUAGAGGGCAAAAGAUGUGAUUAAACUAAAGAUCUUGAGGGACUUGUCCUGGAUUAUCCAGGUGGGUUGGAAACACAAUCAUAAAUGUCCAUAGGAGAGAAGGGCAGAGAGGGUCUUAGACGGAGAGGGGAAGAAGCCAUGUGAUCACAGAGGCAGUGUGACCACUGGAGUGAUGCACCGACAAGCCAAGGAAGGCCGGGAGUCACCAGAAGCUGGAAGGGGCAAGAAACAGAUAGUCUCCUAGCAGCUUUGGACAGAGCCCAGCCCUAUCCCCACUGCCAUGAGACAAUAAAACUUGUGCUGUUUUAAGCCACCCAGUUUGGAUGAUUUGUUACGGCAACCACAGGAAAACUAACACAAUCCUGGAGUCCGCGGGUUCACAGAUAGGCACAUGACCCAGCUACCUCAGCGAGACUCCAUUUGGCACUCACCGCACCCACUGGGAAAGAGAAGCUCUGUUUCCUACUAAGGCAGCCCAUCCUGGGAGAAUAUAACCCUAGAGCCGAGGGUCACAGUGUGGAGACAUUAGCCUGAUAUUCUGAGAAAGACAGAUAGACACCUAGUGUUGAUGUCAUUUGAUCUUCUGGAUCCAGCUGUAUCUGAAACCAGGGCUAUCCUGGAUUUUCGGUUAUAUCAGCCAAUUAAUUUCCCAUUUGACUUAAGCCAGUUAGCACUGGGUUUCUGUCGCAAGCAGAGCCAAAGAAUUCUGACUUAUAGGCCUUUUGUUACUGGUGUAGGGUUCUGAGUUACAUGUGAGCUUCAACAAGUUGGCAUAAGUAUUUCCAAAUAUUGCAUGGGUCAGAUAACUAAAAAAAAAAACAAAAAACAUUAUUUGUUACUUAUCUGCAGUUCAAAGUUACCUGGGCAACCUGGAUGCUUAGUUUUUGGCUUUUGCUAAGGCAAUCCUGUGUCAGAAGAAGUUUUUUUAUUGAUCAUCGGAAACUUUUGGAAAGCCAGGUUGUUAUAGCACAAAAGGUAAGAAUAAUCUUUCUAAAGUAGAUGCUUCUUCUAAUUUUAGACAUUCAUAUAACUAUCUUUGGGGCACCUGGGUGGCUCAGUCAGUUAAGCGUCCAACUCUUUAUUUCGGCUCAGGUCAUGAUCUCAUGGUUUGUGAGUUGGAGCCUCAUUGGGCUCUGCACUGACAGUUCGAUAUUCUCAGGAAAAUCGAGGGUUCUCUCUCCCUUUCUCUCUGCCCCUCCCCUAUGCGUGCGCUCUGUCUCUCUCUCUCUCUCUCUCUCUCAAAAUAAAUAAACUUAAAAACACACACACAGAUAACUGUCUUCAGUGUCCUGUAUUAACCGGGGUUGUAAAACAGUGUAAUUAUACACUCAUGGUGUUUUGAACCUUAAUGUGUUUUGAAGUUGAGAAAGACAGACUCAGUUUUUAAAGGUCUCCUACCACUGACCAAAGCAGUAAAAAGGUGCCUUUGUGUGUUGUGAAACCUACAAUUUCCUUUAAAACUGAUGCCCUUACAGAGCUGUGUUCACAGUUGCUUCUGGCUGUGUGACAUACAUGUUACGGAAUGGUCCAGAAGCAAAGGAUUAUGAAGGACCCAGCUGGAGGCAGGGGAGUGGGCAGUGCAAUGCCUAUCAGCUUCCUUGAGCAGAGAAGAAAAAGGCCAAGCUGAGGGUAUCCAGAAAUCUGGGGACCAACCUGAAGACGUGAUGUUUUGCAUAUACAAGGUGAUGCCAUAGCCCAGGAUAAGUCCUGUGUUUUGUGCCAAAAUGAAGUUGUUCUAGAAAAGGUGGAUCUCCUGCUUUACGUCUCUUUUGUUCUCAAAAUACGUUCCCUCAGCCUCUUCAGAAAAGACUUCUGAAGCGGGUUGGUUCUUUGACCUUGAGACUUAGGAAUACAGAAUGACAGAUUCACAGUUUCACUUUGCAGCAAUAUUAAGAAUACUUGAAAAUGUACAAACUUAAGUUCCCUGGCUCAUGGCUUUCCUAUUAGAGCUGACUUUCCAGUGAUGUUUGGAAAAAAAAAAAAAAAAAAAAAAGAGGCUAUUUCUUGAAAGUACAGUUUGAAAGGUCUAUUGUAUUUCAGUGGUUUCCAUGCUUUGUUUUGAUGUGUAUUCUUUUUUCAUACAAGUAUGUACUUAAAGUGCUGUGGGAUAGAGCACACGUACCUGGCUCCCUCUCCUAGUUUGAUUUAUGUGCCCACUGACUUACUGUCUUACCCAGUCUGGCAAGUUCCCCACACCUAGCAAGAUCUUCCAACAACCUGACUGAAGAACCACUGUGUCCACUCAGAGUAACCCAGAGGUCACACCCUUAUGGUUACUGGAUGGGUCGUUCCACUGUGUCUACCCAGAGUGAGGUUACACCCUUAUGGUUACUGGAUGGGUCAUGCCAGGUAUUAGUCAUGGGAAAAGAGUUUUAAACUGAAACGUAUCUGACAUUUAACAUCGUGUAGUUUUAAGGUGUACAACAUGUGAGUUCGAUUACACUUAUAUGAUGUAAUAUGAUUGCCAUUGUAGCGAUAAUCAGCACCUCUGUCAGGCCACAUAAAUUAUCUUUUCUUUUUUUAGUGGUUGGAAUAAUUAAGUUCCAGUCUCUUGGCAAGUUCGAAGACUGUAAUACAAUAUUGUGGUCUAUAA